rnacentral:lncRNA from 7 species
CUUGUGCAGCGAAAAAGGGAAAAAUCCUGCAGCUGUCAAUGAAGCAGAGUCCCCAGAGGUGACCAGGCUGUGCUGUGGUGCGAGUGCUCCGUGGGCCAUGCAGUAGGAGUGUGGCUGCUGCCUGGGCUUCGUCAUGUCUGCUGCUCUGCAUGUCUGCAUAUCAUAUUUCAGACAUUAAAAAGUAACGUACAAGAGGUGCAAGCAGAGGACUGCAGCCCAUGGAGAGAGAGCCUGAGAAGGAGUAGAGAAGUAAGGAGUGAAAGGAUGUGAAAGUAAGGAGCACUCCCAUGUGCUGAUCUCACCUCCUGUACCACCGGCAUUAGGGGUGGAAGACUCCACACUGAAGCUGAGAUGGGAAAGGGAAUAUAUGUGCUGCUGACUCUAUUAGUGGCCUUCAGUAUCUCUUCAUCUUAAACAACACUGGAGAGAAGUUGUACGGCACUACAAAGGCUGAAAGUGCUAUGUUAGUAAUUGCUUCAAGAAUACUAUUUGCCUUCUGCCAAGAGAAAGGUAGGGAUCAAUCUGCAAGUCUUCUCUCUCAUGUGUAUUAAAAAAAAUGUCUGAGAUUCCACACAUUAUCACAUUCCAUUAAUAGUCCCAUUAAUCUAACCCACACUACAAGACAUGAAAAACCUAAAAUAAAGAGUGGCGUGUCCCUUUUUCUUUCAAGUCUGACUCUGAAGUGCUCCCAUCUAACAACAGAAGGUAGAAAUUAGUCAGUUUAGAAGCUUUUUUCUCCUUCAGUUGCAUAGUCAGAAGUCCCUGAUGAGAAGGCUUUCCUAAUCAUUGUCCAAUAAUGAACAUAAAAAUGUCAAAGGUGGUAUUGUCAGAAGAGUAUAUUAUUAGAAAUAACUAAUAUUUGAGGAGCUUUAUUUAAAAUAAAAAAAAGAGUAUAAGAACUCUCCUAUGUAUCAAGUUUCACAUAGGUUUAGGAGAAGGUUAGACAAUUAGCUCAUGUGUGCUGUCUUAUACAUAUGGAUGGAUGAAGGAGGCUUUACAUUUCUCAACUUAUUUCUGACAAGUUCUGAAUUCCAGUCAAUUAAGUAUGCAGCCACUUAUCCAAAAGAGAUUGAGCUGAUGGUACAGACUGGGUUCACAAAUGCUUCCAGAAAGCUUUCAGGUGAUAAGAUAAAAGCGGAUCCUGGUCACUGCUGAUUUGAAACCAGGACUUGAAUUUGUGGCCUAUAGUUGAAGGGUGCUGUGUCAUCUAUUCUUCAUCCCUAACUUGUGAAUUUUUGCUGUUCAUGAACAAUUCAUGAACUUCUAUUUAUCUUCAGCAAUUGCAUUAUGAAUUGAGGAUUUAACUGGAAUAAGAUAAUCCAGGAAAUAGUAAAUUUCAAUUCAUUUUUAUGAAUCUAAUAUAUAUUCAGCAUACGAGAGCGGAGAUGUGAAUACAUUAGAGAUAAAAAUACUAGUAAGAAAAGAACCCAUUCUAUAACUUCAGCUUAAUUCUCAAAGACAUCUAGCCAGAAAUGGUGGCAGAUCUGACUUUUUGCAGCCCUUGGAUUUUCUGGGACUCUCUCCCCUCAGCAGUGAGUGAAUACAUCUUUGCAGUUUUUGCUCUGUGAUUUCUUAUUUAUAGUGGGCUAUUUUUUUCAGCUUGAUUCUAUUUCUAGAGCAAUAUGGAUCCACAGCUAAAUGUUUUGGAAAAUAUUUCAUUAUUUCCAGGGGAUUUCUUUCUCUCUCUUG